rnacentral:rRNA from 1 species
ACGAACGCUGGCGGCAUGCCUAACACAUGCAAGUCGAACGAGACCUUCGGGUCUAGUGGCGCACGGGUGCGUAACGCGUGGGAACCUGCCCUUAGGUUCGGAAUAACUCCCCGAAAGGGGUGCUAAUACCGGAUAAUGUCUUCGGACCAAAGAUUUAUCGCCUUUGGAUGGGCCCGCGUUGGAUUAGCUAGUUGGUAGGGUAAAAGCCUACCAAGGCGACGAUCCAUAGCUGGUCUGAGAGGAUGAUCAGCCACACUGGGACUGAGACACGGCCCAGACUCCUACGGGAGGCAGCAGUGGGGAAUAUAGGACAAUGGGCGAAAGCCUGAUCCAGCAAUGCCGCGUGAGUGAUGAAGGCCUUAGGGUUGUAAAGCUCUUUUACCCGGGAUGAUAAUGACAGUACCGGGAGAAUAAGCUCCGGCUAACUCCGUG